AGCCUGAACGCUGGCGGCGUGGCUAAGACAUGCAAGUCGUACGGGUGUAGCAAUACACCAGUGGCGGACGGGUGAGUAAUGUAUCGCUAACGUACCCCGGACUCUGGGAUAGCUGCCCGAAAGGGCAGGUAAUACCAGAUGACAUAUCCUUAUCGCAUGAUGAGGAUCUCAAAGGGAAACCGUUCUGGGGAGCGGGGCGAGUAUCGGUAUCAGCUAGUUGGUAGGGUAACGGCCUACCAAGGCGACGACGCGUAGCCGGACUGAGAGGUUGGCCGGCCACAUUGGGACUGAGACACUGCCCAGACUCCUACGGGGGGCUGCAGUAACGAAUCUUCCGCAAUGCACGCAAGUGUGACGGAGCGACGCCGCGUGUGGGACGAAGUCCUUCGGGAUGUAAACCACUGUCAGGGGUUAGAAGUUCUGAUCAACCCCAGAGGAAGGCACGGCUAACUCUGUGCCAGCAGCCGC
rnacentral:rRNA from 1 species